CAAUCAAACAGAGAGUAAUACCCAGAGGAGUGCCAACUGAGAACACGAAUACAUUUUCAGUUGCUUGAAGCUUCAUUUGUGUUCUCAGGUCACCCCUUUGGGUUAACUUCCUCUACAUUACAUCCCAUCGACACCUUCUCAAGGAGCGUUCGGUCGGGUGCAGUUGGAUCUGCGAUGCGUUUUCAGUUAACAAAUGGAUAUAACUGGAUUUGUAUAACCAGGUCCUACUACACCCAACCAAACGCUCCCGUUACUGAAGAUAUCUAAGGUUGGUUCCAGUACACGCAAACUAUGAAGAGGAAAUUUGUCCCGUGAAGAGCUAGGCCAGUACUUUUAUGGUGAUUGCUUUGAUAGUAUUCUGGAAUUAUGCAGUGAACGAAUUGAAGGCCCAAGACCUCGUCAGCUUGGACUGCAAUCGCUAGCUUUUAACACGUAAUAAUAUUUAAAUACUGCAGAUGUGAAAGUUCACUUGUUUUCUCUCUUGUUAAUGUGAAGGGUAAAAGAGAAAAUGGGGCACUAGAUGAAGCUAUAAGAAGGCUACAAUCGAAAGAAAA